rnacentral:rRNA from 1 species
GUAACGCGUCACCAACCUACCCACCACUGGGGGAUAGCCCGCCGAAAGGCGGAUUAAUACCGCAUAAGACCACAGCUCGGCAUCGGGUAGUGGUUAAAGAUUAAUUGGUGGUGGAUGGGGUUGCGUAGCAUUAGCUAGAUGGCGGGGUAAGGGCCCACCAUGGCGACGAUGCUUAGGGGACCUGAGAGGGUGAUCCCCCACACUGGCACUGAGAUACGGGCCAGACUCCUACGGGAGGCAGCAGUAGGGAAUAUUGGGCAAUGGGCGAGAGCCUGACCCAGCCAUGCCGCGUGCCGGAUGAAGGCCUUCUGGGUUGUAAACGGCUUUUCUCAGGGAAGAAAAAGACCCUGCGGGGUACACUGACGGUACCUGAGGAAGAAGCACCGGCUAACUCCGUGCCAGCAGCCGCGGUAAU